rnacentral:lncRNA from 1 species
CGAGAAGUGAACAUUGGGUCCCUGUCGGACACUACUGUCACUAGCACUCUAUGUAAUCUGACUAUCUCCCAAAUAUAUAUUCUUGCUACCUUAUUCAAUGGGUCGGUCAUCUUGAUGACCAAAAAGUGAGAAGACUUGAUCAAUAAUUACCCAAAUUUGAUCAUGCCCUGAGCGUGUCCUAGGCAAUCCUGCCACAAAAUUCAUUGUGAUAUAUUCCCACUUCCACUCCGGAGUUGGUAAUGGCUAAAGUAACCCACCUGGGCGUUGAUGCUCUGUCUUGACCUUCUAACAUACAAAACACUUGGAA